GUGCACUGGAAUGCACAGGGCCAGAUGCAGGUGCCCGGACAGGCACAGUGCCUGGAGUACAGACAGGCAGUAUUUCAGAGGCCCGGACAGGCAUAGUGCCUGGGUGACAGAUAGGCACAAUUUCAGAGGCCAGAAUAGGCACAGAGCCAGGUAAAGAGGCAGGAACAGGUCCACGUUUAGGGGCCUGUACAACCACAGAGCCAGGAGUAAUGACAUGCACAGGCCCAGGAGCAUGGGCAGUUACAGGGCCA